AAAAUGCGAAACGCAUUGUGAUUAGCGGAAUUCUGAGAAUCAAUAGGUCGCUGAACGCACACGGCACUACUGCGCAAGCAGUAGUAGGUCUGUUUCAGUCUCAAUUGCAAUCUCAUCAAACAAUUUGUAUUUAUUUACAUCUUGCUAUUGGUGAGUUAAGGUGCUGCUCGAUACGUCUGGCAGUCGCAGUGUUCUAUAACAGUUCAUUAAGUUAACAUAUUGGUCUAACCUAUGUUGCCGAAGAACUACUACUUUAUAGCGUACUAAACUACAUGAGCUGAAAUCAGACCAGGCUACCCGCUGAACUUAA
rnacentral:misc_RNA from 1 species